rnacentral:misc_RNA from 3 species
AACGCACCUUGCGCUCCUUGGUAUUCCGAGGAGCAUGCCUGUUUGAGUGUCAUUAAAUUCUCAACCUUACCAGCUUUUGUUGGUAAUGGCUUGGAUGUGGGGGUCUUUUGCUGGCUUCGUAAAGAGGUCUGCUCCCCUUAAAUGCAUUAGCCGGUGCCCUGCGUGGAUCCGUCUAUUGGUGUGAUAAUUAUCUACGCCGUGGACGUCUGCUUUAAAUGGGACGCACUGCUUCUAACCGUCCGUUCAGUUGGACAAUCAAUGACAAUUUGACCUCAAAUCAGGUAGGACUACCCGCUGAACUUAA